GAUGAACGCUAGCGGCAGGCCUAACACAUGCAAGUCGAGGGGCAGCACAGAAACAGCAAUGUUUUGGUGGCGACCGGCGGACGGGUGCGUAACGCGUAUGCAACCUACCUUUAACAGGGGGAUAACGGAGAGAAAUUUCCACUAAUACCCCAUAACAUCGAUCAAGGCAUCUCGAUUGGUUGAAAACUCCGGUGGUUAAAGAUGGGCAUGCGUUGUAUUAGGUAGUUGGUGAGGUAAUGGCUCACCAAGCCUACGAUACAUAGGGGACUGAGAGGUUAGCCCCCCACACUGGUACUGAGACACGGACCAGACUCCUACGGGAGGCAGCAGUGAGGAAUAUUGGUCAAUGGGGGCAACCCUGAACCAGCCAUGCCGCGUGCAGGAAGACGGCUCUAUGAGUUGUAAACUGCUUUUAAACAGGGAUAAAGCACAGUAUGUAUACUGUGUUGAAGGUACUGUAAGAAUAAGGAUCGGCUAACUCCGUGCCAGCAGCCGCGGUAA
rnacentral:rRNA from 1 species